CAGGUUCCAAGAAUGUUGGGUUAAAGAAUCUCAGAAGCCAAAGCCAUGGCUGUUAAAAGCAUUAAACAGUAGCCUUGGAGGAAGGUUUUGGUGGGGAGGCUUUUGGAAGAUGUGACAAGCGAAAUAGAAAAUGAUACUUAAUUUUGAAGGCUUUGUGUUGG